CCAGACUCCUACGGGAGGCAGCAGUGGGGGAUAUUGCACAAUGGGGGGAACCCUGAUGCAGCGACGCCGCGUGGGUGAAGAAGCGCCUCGGCGCGUAAAGCCCUGUCAGCAGGGAAGAAAAUGACGGUACCUGCAAAGGAAGCACCGGCUAACUCCGUGCCAGCAGCCGCGGUAAUACGGAGGGUGCGAGCGUUAUCCGGAUUUAUUGGGUUUAAAGGGUGCGCAGGCGGGAGAUCAAGUCAGCGGUAAAAUGUCGGGGCUCAACCCCGGCCGGCCGUUGAAACUGGUUUUCUAGAGUUGGAGAGAAGUAUGCGGAAUGCGUGGUGUAGCGGUGAAAUGCAUAGAUAUCACGCAGAACUCCGAUUGCGAAGGCAGCAUACCGGCGCCCAACUGACGCUGAAGCACGAAAGCGUGGGUAUCGAACAGGAUUAGAUACCCCUGUACAA
rnacentral:rRNA from 1 species